AUUGAACGCUGGCGGCAGGCCUAACACAUGCAAGUCGAGCGGAUGAAGGGAGCUUGCUCCUGGCUUCAGCGGCGGACGGGUGAGUAAUGCCUAGGAAUCUGCCUGGUAGUGGGGGAUAACGUCCGGAAACGGGCGCUAAUACCGCAUACGUCCUGAGGGAGAAAGUGGGGGAUCUUCGGACCUCACGCUAUCAGAUGAGCCUAGGUCGGAUUAGCUAGUUGGUGGGGUAAAGGCCUACCAAGGCGACGAUCCGUAACUGGUCUGAGAGGAUGAUCAGUCACACUGGAACUGAGACACGGUCCAGACUCCUACGGGAGGCAGCAGUGGGGAAUAUUGGACAAUGGGCGAAAGCCUGAUCCAGCCAUGCCGCGUGUGUGAAGAAGGUCUUCGGAUUGUAAAGCACUUUAAGUUGGGAAGAAGAGCAGUAAGUUAAUACCUUGCUGUUUUGACGUUACCAACAGAAUAAGCACCGGCUAACUUCGUG
rnacentral:rRNA from 1 species